GGGGUACAAAUAGGUGUACCAUGUGUCUAUGAAUAUAGAGAUAAUGCAUGAAUAGACCAUACUGUGAAUAAAUAAUAUAAUGGGUUCCACCUUUAAAUAAUGGAUUCAAUUGGUAUCUGAAAAUAUACAGGAAAUAUUAUAUUGAUAUACAUAUAUUCAUUCCAACAAGUUAUACAUCUAAUGGUAAUAUUAGGAUUCUCCAAUUUGAGUCCUACUGACUGUGGGGUUUAGAUUCCUUUUGUGAAUUGGAGGCAUGAGAAAACCCAAGCACUAUUGGCAAGCCAAUGCAGGGCUUUGAAGAACCCAUUUGACCCAAAGUAUCCCUAUUCUUACUUGAUGGAGGUCAGUACCCUAACAGAGGAAAGCAAGAGACUUCAUCCACAAUGACUGCUCUUUUGGCCAUUUUGGUUUUGGAUGCACACAUGGGAUCUUUCUUUAGAUCCAUCAGGUGCUUAGAAUCUAAGCCACAGCCUCACACAGGGCCAAGAGGCGGAUUCAGACACAUCCCUUUCCAAAGCAAUUAAGCAAAGAGCCACAGGAGAUGCACAUUCAUUUCCAUUUGAAAACUAUUUUAUUCAGGCUUUAUCAUGAAGAGUGUGUGAGUUUUGCUAAAAAAGUGAUUAUGGAAACUGAAUAUAAUGUGUUUGGAAUGAAGUCUCAUGAAAAGACCAGUCAAGAAACCUGGAGGAAUCCAUGUGUUCUGAAGCAGGAAGUGAUUGAAAGUGAAACAAAUGCCUAUAAGUUUGCAAACUUGUGGAUGAAAUAUAUAUCCUAUGGUGUGCAUAAAUUGAAG
rnacentral:lncRNA from 1 species